rnacentral:rRNA from 1 species
UUCAUUGGUUGUUCAACACGUUGAAUGCUCGACAUCUCGUCCGAUCUAAAAGUCAAGCAAUUUCGGAGUCUGGUUAGUACUUGGAUCGCAGAUGGUCUGGGAAUCCCAGGCGUUGUUGACA